rnacentral:rRNA from 1 species
AACGAACGCUGGCGGCAUGCCUAACACAUGCAAGUCGAACGAGACCUUCGGGUCUAGUGGCGCACGGGUGCGUAACGCGUGGGAAUCUGCCCUUGGGUUCGGAAUAACUCGCCGAAAGGCGUGCUAAUACCGGAUGAUGUCGUAAGACCAAAGAUUUAUCGCCCAGGGAUGAGCCCGCGUAAGAUUAGGUAGUUGGUGAGGUAAAGGCUCACCAAGCCGACGAUCUUUAGCUGGUCUGAGAGGAUGAUCAGCCACACUGGGACUGAGACACGGCCCAGACUCCUACGGGAGGCAGCAGUGGGGAAUAUUGGACAAUGGGCGAAAGCCUGAUCCAGCAAUGCCGCGUGAGUGAUGAAGGCCUUAGGGUUGUAAAGCUCUUUUACCCGGGAUGAUAAUGACAGUACCGGGAGAAUAAGCUCCGGCUAACUCCGUGCCAGCCGCCGCCGUAACAC